rnacentral:lncRNA from 1 species
GUGGUGGCUGGCGACAAGGGGAUGACGAUCUCAUGGCCUGGAGGGACCAAACCGGUGGUCGACGGUGACCAUCGACGUCGGAAAAUCGAAGAAAAGAGGACAAAAAUAGAGGUUUCUUCCACAACAAAAUCCAACGACUCCGGUUACCAGCAAUCGUGCACAUGGGAAUGGAAAGAAAGGAGGAGAAGAGAGGAAGGGGAGGAGGCUCACCUUCGAUGCCGGAGAGGCUUUCUAGCAAGAAAAUUGGAUGGGCACAGAGUCGGUCUUCCAUGAUGAUUUUUUGGUGAUUGCCGCUAAUGAACUUCGAAAUUUUCGAUGAGAAGGAAAGAGAAGGGAUCUCCUCCUUAAAUAGAGCUGGAAGGGGCCUCUUUCCAACUCCGGUUGGGAGUCGGUGAGAGGAGAAAGAAGACUCCCUUCGGGAGUCUUCUCUUCUGUUUUCCCUUCCUCUUUUUUUUUUUUUGGACUGGGGUUUGUUACAUGGGCUGGGCCAUGACAACUACACUCUCUAUCGAGCAUACAUAGGAUGUACGAGUCUUAUCGGUAUCAUCGAUUUUCGACUUGAUGAUCCAAUGACUAGAAGCAUUUUAGAUUAGAGCUAUCAAAAUUUUAGAUCUCACUGGCAUGAUCUCAUCAUAGCCCUAAAAUCAUUAUCCUAAUCUAUGGGGUUUAUCAUAAUCAUAAACAUAUGAUGUAGCAAAUGAUAAAACAUAAUACCUUAUAAAUAAAAUAACUGAUAUCAUGCAAAUGAGUAGGAAGAUAUCAUAGAAAAGUUUCUUCGCAUCACCCAUGCGAUUGACUUGUAAGGUACUAUUUUUUCAAUCUCCCACUUGUACUAAAGCCAAUCGCCCCGUACCUGAUACCCAUGCAAUCAAGGUGGUGAUCACACUGCUGUUGUGUAAAGGCUUAGUGAACUGGUUCAUUAUACUAUUUUUUAUAUAAACUCAUUUUAUGAUCAAAUCAUGAAUGAGGUGAAAAUAUCUUAGGAUGUGCGUAUGUUCCUAGUGAGACCAUACCCAACUUAGUGAUGAACCCUUUCAUCAAAUAAUUUUUCUUAGCAAUCUUUACUCACAGCAAUUAACUGAGUCAAACUCAGUUUGUUGUUUAGAAUUUUUCAAAUUCAUUGCUCU